CUUCUGGAGGCUCAGGUCGCCCCCGUCCACAUUGUGGCUACUGCAACAAAGAUGGUCAUAUUGAGUCCCACUGCUACACGAAGCAGAACCACUUGCGCCAGGCGCAAUCAUCAUCUACAGAGACUUCGUCAUCUACCUCGACAGCUUCAGCCAUCGCUUUGACUGAGCAGGACAUUCUGCUACUUAAGCGUCUGCUCGCUACUUCAGGUUCUUCCUCGACGGGUACUGCUGGUAUUCUGACUCAGGCUUCCCGCACUGAGCAACCAUCUUCUACACAGUCAGGACCGUCUCAUGCACACUCUGGUUGGCAUUGGCCUUCGCCGCCAUGAUAUUAUUAUUUUUCUCUUCCGCUGCCAUCAUCC
rnacentral:lncRNA from 1 species